UACGUAGGGGGGCAAGCGUUGUCCGGAUUUACUGGGCGUAAAGAGCGUGUAGGCGGCCAAGCAGGUCCGUUGUGAAAAACUGGAGGCUUAACCUCCAGACGUCGACGGAAACCGCGCGGCUAGAGUCCGGAAGAGGAGAGUGGAAUUCCUGGGUGUAGAGGUGAAAUUUGUAGAUAUUCGGAAGAACACCAGUGGCGAAGG
rnacentral:rRNA from 1 species